AGUAAAUAGUAAAAAGGCACUUAUUCGUUACUUAAAAACAAUUAGGCUAUGAGAUUUACAAUAUGAAUAAUCCUGCCUCUUUCACAUAUCAUAUGUAAUGGUGAAAGCUAUAUGCAAUGUUAAUAUGUAGAGUAGGAUUCAAAUAUUUAUAAAAUACAAUAUAUUGGAGUUUGUUAGUAUUUCUUAUAGAUAUAAAAUUUAAAAUUAAUCCUCAUAUUAAAGAGA
rnacentral:misc_RNA from 1 species